rnacentral:rRNA from 1 species
UACGUAGGUGGCAAGCGUUGUCCGGAUUUAUUGGGUUUAAAGGGUGCGCAGGCGGCUUAUUAAGUCAGUGGUGAAAUACUCUAGCUCAACUAGAGGGGUGCCAUUGAUACUGAUGAGCUUGAGUACAGAUGAGGUAGGCGGAAUUGACGGUGUAGCGGUGAAAUGCAUUGAGAUCGGAAAGAACACCAACGGCGAAAGCACUCUGCUGGGCCGACACUGACACUGAGAGACGAAAGCUAGGGGAGCAAAUGGG